GAGUGUGCAAAAAUCCCUCUUCUUCUCUCCGAAUUCCUUUUAGCGCUCGAUGUGUUUGCAAAAAAAGGGAGGCCGACCAAAGGCGGUCGCUGCAAGACAAAUGCCGGCGUUAACCGAGCGAGCCAGGCGGGGAUGUGGUCAAAGCGUCCCAGAAUACAUUAGAUUCGUUCCGGGGCUAAGAGCGGAGCCCGGGAGAUCCAGGGGAAAUUAAUGUCGCGAUUCAAUUGGAUUCCAUCUCCCAAACGCAUAAGCUCGGUUGCUGUUUCUUUUUUCUGCCCCGUUUGACUGGUGCCUUUUUACUCCUCGCCUAUCUGACACAUAGAAAUCCAACAGGUAGCUACACACCAUCACAGAUCUCCUUGACCCUGCCAGCAGCCUGGAAUUCUCAGUAAUCGGUGCAUCAUUUAAUUUUAAACAUUAUAACUGAGUCCCUGAAAAUCUCCUCUGUUAUAUCUGCCUUAAUUAAGCAAAAGCACAAUGCUUAAUAUCCAGAAAAUA